UACGGAGGGUGCGAGCGUUGUCCGGAAUCACUGGGCGUAAAGGGCGCGUAGGUGGUUUGAUAAGGGUGUGGUGAAAGUCCGGGGCUCAACCCCGGAUCUGCCGUGCCGACUGUCAGACUCGAGGGCUGUAGAGGCAGACGGAAUUCCGGGUGUAGCGGUGGAAUGCGUAGAGAUCCGGAGGAAGACCGGUGGCGAAGGCGGUCUGCUGGGCAGUUUCUGACACUGAGGCGCGACAGCGUGGGGAGCAAACAGG
rnacentral:rRNA from 1 species